GACGAACGCUGGCGGCGCGCCUAACACAUGCAAGUCGAACGGAGCGCAGCGAGUCAAUCCCUUCGGGGUGAGACAUGCUGUUGCUUAGUGGCGAACGGGUGAGUAACACGUGAGCAACCUACCCAGGGGCGGGGGACAACAUUUGGAAACAGAUGCUAAUACCGCGUAAGACCACGGAACCGCAUGAUUCUGAGGCCAAAGGAUUUAUCCACCCCCGGAUGGGCUCGCGCCUGAUUAGCUAGUUGGUGAGGUAACGGCCCACCAAGGCAACGAUCAGUAGCCGGACUGAGAGGUUGAACGGCCACAUUGGGACUGAGACACGGCCCAGACUCCUACGGGAGGCAGCAGUGAGGAAUAUUGCACAAUGGGGGAAACCCUGAUGCAGCGACGCCGCGUGGAGGAAGAAGGUUUUCGGAUUGUAAACUCCUGUCUUCGGGGACGAUAAUGACGGUACCCGAGGAGGAAGCCACGGCUAACUACGUGCCAGCAGCCGCAGUAAGAC
rnacentral:rRNA from 1 species